CUCUUCGGAGUUAGUGGCGGACGGGUGAGUAACACGUGGGAACGUGCCUUUAGGUUCGGAAUAACUCAGGGAAACUUGAGCUAAUACCGGAUGUGCCCUUCGGGGGAAAGAUUUAUCGCCUUUAGAGCGGCCCGCGUCUGAUUAGCUAGUUGGUGAGGUAAAGGCUCACCAAGGCGACGAUCAGUAGCUGGUCUGAGAGGAUGAUCAGCCACAUUGGGACUGAGACACGGCCCAAACUCCUACGGGAGGCAGCAGUGGGGAAUCUUGCGCAAUGGGCGAAAGCCUGACGCAGCCAUGCCGCGUGAAUGAUGAAGGUCUUAGGAUUGUAAAAUUCUUUCACCGGGGACGAUAAUGACGGUACCCGGAGAAGAAGCCCCGGCUAACUUCGUGCCAGCAGCCGCGGUAAUACGAAGGGGGCUAGCGUUGCUCGGAAUUACUGGGCGUAAAGGGAGCGUAGGCGGACAUUUAAGUCAGGGGUGAAAUCCCGGGGCUCAACCUCGGAAUUGCCUUUGAUACUGGGUGUCUUGAGUAUGAGAGAGGUGUGUGGAACUCCGAGUGUAGAGGUGAAAUUCGUAGAUAUUCGGAAGAACACCAGUGGCGAAGGCGACACACUGGCUCAUUACU
rnacentral:rRNA from 1 species